rnacentral:rRNA from 1 species
GUCGUACCUGCCCUGUGAUUUUAUAAUUUAACGGAUGGAUUUGUGUUAAAGUAGCACAGUAAAUAGCCCUUUGAUUGAGGGAUGGAAUGAAUGGUUUGACAUAAGGAUUCUGUCUUUAGGAUAAUGUAAUAGAAAUUCCUUUUUAAGUGAAAAAGCUUAAAUAUUUGUAAAAGAUGAGAAGACCCUAUCGAACUUAAUUAUGGCUGGGCAGUUUAUGCUAAAUAGAUUAUAUUUGGUUAGUUUCCUUAGCUUUAAAUCUUACUGGGGCAGUAGAGGGUUAUAUAAUACCUUUCUUUUAUAUUGAAGAGCCUUUUAGAUGGAAAAGAGCAAAAGUUACCGUAGGGAUAACAGGGUAAUUUUUCCCGAAAGAUCUUAUUAAGGGAAGAGUGUGCGACCUCGAUGUUGAAUUAAAGGAGCUUUUUGGUGAAAGUGCUAAAA